rnacentral:rRNA from 1 species
AUUGAACGCUGGCGGCAUGCCUUACACAUGCAAGUCGAACGGUAACGGGCCUUCGGGUGCCGACGAGUGGCGAACGGGUGAGUAAUGCAUCGGAACGUACCCAUUAGUGGGGGAUAACUCUCCGAAAGGAGGGCUAAUACCGCAUAUUCUGUGAGCAGGAAAGCAGGGGAUCGCAAGACCUUGCACUGAUGGAGCGGCCGAUGUCAGAUUAGCUAGUUGGUGAGGUAAAGGCUCACCAAGGCGACGAUCUGUAGCGGGUCUGAGAGGAUGAUCCGCCACACUGGAACUGAGACACGGUCCAGACUCCUACGGGAGGCAGCAGUGGGGAAUUUUGGACAAUGGGGGCAACCCUGAUCCAGCCAUGCCGCGUGAGUGAAGAAGGCCUUCGGGUUGUAAAGCUCUUUCGGCCGGGAAGAAAUCGCAUGGGUUAAUACCCUGUGUGGAUGACGGUACCGGAUAAGAAGCACCGGCUAACUACGUGCCAGCCGCCGCUGUAA